rnacentral:rRNA from 1 species
AGAGUUUGAUCCUGGCUCAAGACGAACGCUGGCGGCGCGCCUAACACAUGCAAGUCGAACGAGCGAGAGAGAGCUUGCUUUCUCGAGCGAGUGGCGAACGGGUGAGUAACGCGUGAGGAACCUGCCUCAAAGAGGGGGACAACAGUUGGAAACGACUGCUAAUACCGCAUAAGCCCACGGCUCGGCAUCGAGCAGAGGGAAAAGGAGCAAUCCGCUUUGAGAUGGCCUCGCGUCCGAUUAGCUAGUUGGUGAGGUAAUGGCCCACCAAGGCAACGAUCGGUAGCCGGACUGAGAGGUUGAACGGCCACAUUGGGACUGAGACACGGCCCAGACUCCUACGGGAGGCAGCAGUGGGGAAUAUUGCACAAUGGGGGAAACCCUGAUGCAGCGACGCCGCGUGGAGGAAGAAGGUCUUCGGAUUGUAAACUCCUGUUGUUGAGGAAGAUAAUGACGGUACUCAACAAGGAAGUGACGGCUAACUACGUGCCAGCAGCCGCGGUAAAACGUAGGUCACAAGCGUUGUCCGGAAUUACUGGGUGUAAAGGGAGCGCAGGCGGGAAGACAAGUUGGAAGUGAAAUCUAUGGGCUCAACCCAUAAACUGCUUUCAAAACUGUUUUUCUUGAGUAGUGCAGAGGUAGGCGGAAUUCCCGGUGUAGCGGUGGAAUGCGUAGAUAUCGGGAGGAACACCAGUGGCGAAGGCGGCCUACUGGGCACCAACUGACGCUGAGGCUCGAAAGUGUGGGUAGCAAACAGGAUUAGAUACCCUGGUAGUCCACACCGUAAACGAUGAUUACUAGGUGUUGGAGGAUUGACCCCUUCAGUGCCGCAGUUAACACAAUAAGUAAUCCACCUGGGGAGUACGACCGCAAGGUUGAAACUCAAAGGAAUAGCCGGGGGCCCGCACAAGCAGUGGAGUAUGUGGUUUAAUUCGACGCAACGCGAAGAACCUUACCAAGUCUUGACAUCCUGCGACGAUGCUGGAAACAGUAUUUUCUUUCGGGACGCAGAGACAGGUGGUGCAUGGUUGUCGUCAGACUCGUGUCGUGAGAUGUUGGGUUAAGUCCCGCAACGAGCGCAACCCUUUCUGUCAGUUACUACGCAAGAGGACUCUGGCAGGCCUCCCGUUGACAAAACGGAGGAAGGUGGGGAUGACGUCAAAUCAUCAUCCCCUUUAUUACUUGGGCUACACACGUACUACAAUGGCGUUAAACAAAGAGAAGCAAGACCGCGAGGCGAGCAAAACUCAGAAACAACGUCCCAGUUCGGACCGCAGGCUGCAACCCGCCUACAAGAAGCCGGAAUCGCUAGUAAUGGCGCAUCAGCUACGGCGCCGUGAAUACGUUCCCGGCCCUUGCACGCACCGCCCGUCA